GCUGGGGAUGUAGCUCAGUUGGUAGAGUGCUUGCCUCACAUGCAAAAGGCCCUGGGUUCAAUCACCAGCCCCAGGG
rnacentral:tRNA from 1 species